UACGUAGGGUGCAAGCGUUGUCCGGAAUUAUUGGGCGUAAAGAGCUCGUAGGCGGUUUGUCGCGUCGAAUGUGAAAACCCGGGGCUCAACCCCGGGCCUGCAUUCGAUACGGGCAGACUAGAGUUCGGUAGGGGAGUCUGGAAUUCCUGGUGUAGCGGUGAAAUGCGCAGAUAUCAGGAAGAACACCCGUGGCGAAAGCGGCUCUCUGGGACGGUACUGACGCUGAGACGCGAAAGCGUGGGGAGCAAACAGG
rnacentral:rRNA from 1 species